AUGCACAAUGAGCUUACCUUUGUAUAUCAGGAUUUUUUCUUCAUCGGUUACCCUUCCUUUAGCUGUAGUUUAUUUUCGUACAGAAACCAAUCUUGGUGUUCUUCCUAUUUGCAUUUGAUUAUCUUUUUAAAAUUCCCUAACAGAACUAUAUAUAACAAUGUGGGUAUGUGUUUUCUUCUUUCAGUGUCUAUAGUGCAUUUGCAUGAUGUUGAAUUAUGUGCUACAAAAUAUACAUUAGCUUCUAUGUGCUAA
rnacentral:rRNA from 1 species